rnacentral:misc_RNA from 1 species
GGAAACUUCAUUACAAAGAUUAGCUAAAAUGAAUUGGAACCAAGUUUGCUAACCAGUCACAAACAAUAUGGAUUACAAAUGUUUCCACAGUUUGAAUGGAAUAUCUUCUAUUUUACAUCUACCAAGGAUCUCUACCUUGGAUAUCUUACAAAAUUUGUGCAGUAUAGGUGACAUCUGCAUCAAUAACCCAAGCAUCCUUGGCUCCAACACAUUUGAGCCUUCUCAAGGGAAACUUAUAUCACCUAGAAUUAUCCUGCUUUUACAUUUUUUGAUUCCGGAAUAGACAUCAUUCUAUUCAUCCGAGACAUGUUCAGAAAGGUACCAGAAAGAACAAAGGAAAAGCCACAAGUAGAUAUUGAGUCCACCGGUAACUCCUUUGAGGGGAUGAAGAUGUAGACUUGGAAGGACCAACGGUUGCAUUAUUAAAGAUAGCUUUUUUACCCCCAGUCGUCGCAUAGAGACAGUUAUCAUAACUUGGAUUCUUGUUUGUUCUAACGCCAACUCCUCCAAAAGUGCAAGCAAUGUCAGUAGCUCCAUUUUGCUGGUAGUAACUGUUGAAUGCAAAAGAAGCAUGUGAUGCAAGGUUAUCAGGCUCGAAACAUGGUUGGCUAGGUUGUAUAGCGGAGCAGUCUACAUUUCCAGAACCACAAGCCCAACUCAAGGCAUUCUGAAGUUCAGCUUCAGAUGCAGAAGAUGAAGCAAUGCACCACGUUCCAUUUGAACCGGUAUUGUUUCCACCUGCAGUCGUGUCUACAACACCCUUACCGGUAAAAUCAA